CUGUCACCCACAUUCAGAGGGCCCAUGGAGGUUCUCCAGCUGUCAGUCCAGAGUCUGUGAGCCCCACUAGCUCAGUGUGACCAAAGCCAGUUCCUCUGAAUGUUAAAGAAGAGAAGCUAAUCACCACUGCAGAACCCAAGGAGACUUCAUAGGACAGUGAAAUCCUGAAAUAUUCCAACAACGUCUAGAAGAAGGGGUAGAAUUCAUGGGAAUGAGUUCAGAAGAAAUGGAAGACAUCUCAUCUCAACAAACAUACAAUUUAUCAGAAGAGUCAUUUUUCCUAAGAUCACCAUCAGGAAUUCCCAUUGGCUUGCUCCAAGACUUAUGUGAAAUUAGCUUACAAUAUGUGUUAUCCUUUUAUGAGUAUAUUUUCUUAUCUACUAAAGAAUUUUGUUAUGACAA